CCCUGGCCUUAGAUUCACUUUAAUUAAACACACUAGUCACUUGCCUUUAAGAAUGAGGCAUAAUUUGGAGGUGCUUACCCUGAUAACAACAUAACUUUAUAAGCCAUUUGAGUCAGUCUGUUACCAUUCAGUCUUAGUUUGGAAAAGCUGAAUGCUGUUCUGAAAAGAUGAAAUUAGACCUUUGGGAAAGCACACCCUUUUUUGCGGGGGGGGGGUACAUGCUGAGGGCCACUCUACACUUAGCAAACAUUUAUGGUCACUAGUGUGUGCCAAGUACCAUACUAAUGCUACAGGUGAUCCAGGAGAAAAUAUAACUCCCAACCUGCUGGGUGUCAGAUACGUUGAGUUCCUUCCCCAAAAUGGAAGAAUGAAUUCUAAGGACAGCAGAGGUUAAGAGUAGGAAAAAUUUAUUCAGGGAUUGUUCCUGAGAGACAAUAGGGGACCACAAGUGGAUUGCCACUGAAGCAAUUUCUCUGAGAAUGUUCUACAAGGCAAGCAUUCACAAGAUGCAUCUCCAGCCACAGUGGUGAUAUGUUCUCACCUUCUGCAGUGACUCCCUCGAGGGCCCAGCCCUGUCUGACUGCCUAUUAAUUUCUUUCUAACUUAGCUGUCUGUAAUGCAGGGAGACAAAAGAAGGAAAGAGAUAUUCACUAUCAGCACCUGCUCAGGUAGAUGCUUUUCACAUAUGUUACAUGGAUCAUAGAACCAGGUGAAGAACUAAAACCAAGACUCUUUGAAGAAAACAAUAUUAAAUCUCUGUGACUUCAAGACUGGAAAUGAUUUCUAAGAUGCAACCCAAAUUCAUAAGCAGUAAAAGAAAAAAUAAAGCAUACCUCCAAAAAA